CCGGAAAUCACGUGCUCUGUUUCUCAUUGGGAAACCUGAGCUAGCAUGAUGGCGUGAAUAAAUGGACGGCCGGUAAGUAAGUGGAGGGAUGAAUGUCUAUGUGACUGUAUGUUUAAGUUAGCCGAUAAAGCUCCAAGUGUGCUAACUUGUGUACCCUAUCCAUGCGCCGCCUGCUGCCAUAAUGACAGUUCUGUUUACACUCAUUCUGUUGGUUUGCAGGGAUACACAACAUCUUGAAAUAAAUGCAGAUACACUAGCUAGAGACAAAACUAUGAUUGUCUUGAUGCAGUGAUCCGAAACGUGAAAAAAUGUCUCCUCUCACCACACUCUCCCUCAUGUGCUCUCUCUGUCUUGCAACACCUGAAACCUCAGUGAGUUUCUACUCAGGCCAAGAGUGACAUCUGCUGGAUAAAUUGUGCUCCUACAUCUGUUUUGCAUGGACACAGAACCCAUCAGAGCUACUUCAUGUCAUUUACAAAUGAACUGUCACUGAGUUAGCCUCUAUUAGCCUUUAUGUGCUCCGUUUUAGGUGAGGGAGAGGGAGUGUAGACCUGGCUGAGGGUUUCCAGGUUGGCAGAAGCUGAUUUGUUGUUGUUUUCCGACUCAGAAGCAGUUUUUUUUUAAAUUGAUACAAGCUACAACUGGGAACCAGUAGAGAGAUGAAUAAUGGAGUUACAUGUGUUGUUUUGGGUUGGUUAACAAACAAGAUAAUCUGCAUGCUGCAUUUGGGAUUAUCUGCAGAGGUUUGACUGAGCAUUCAAGGAUGAUGUUUAUGAUCUGAUCCUUCUGAUGUUAUAGAAAGAAAAUGAGCAUAACCAAGUCAAACAAGGAAACUUUAAUUUUAGCAGGUCAGCAACAUCCAGAUUCGGGGCAGACCGAGUGGACAUGGGUUCUUUUAAUCCAAGCUGGAUAUGAUUGCACAAAAGGACUCGCUGGAAGGACGAGAAGCUCUGUGUUGGACAGGUCGAGCUGGAGGUGGCUGUAGGAGCAGAUAUUGUAGAAAUUAAAUUGUGGUAUUACUGUUUACAUGGGAGGUGGUAUUUUCUAUAUAAGGUUGUAACUUUAAUGUCUGGGUAGGUGCUCCACCCAGAGGGGGAAACAGUUUUUUGACUGCAGAAAUGUUGCUGCAGGGACUGAGUGUGAAACAUAGUUUUUGUUGUCUUUUGUACCGUUUUUGUUGCUUGGAUAAGUUUAAUAAACACAGGGUUUGUUCAGCAAAGCAAUUUAAAAAGGACUUUCAUUCAUCAAACACAACUUUUUACAUUUGUCAAUUACUUAAUCUGGGUCGCAGCACCUCAGUGGCUUUUAGCAUAGGCUUGGCCUCAUUUAGAAAUAUCACUGAGGCAUGAUGAGAUCCGUUUGGCAUAUCAUCCCCAUUGCAGUGAUAUAAGAGCAGGUAAUUACACCACCUAGAGAGUGAAAUUGAGAAAAGGAGGUCAAGCACUGACCCUUGAGGCACCGCUGUUGAUAAGCAAUGUGGUUUGGACACUUUUCUUCUCCCUAAUACCCCAAAAGAUCUCCCUGUGAGGUAGGACCAAAAGACUUGGACUGGGUUGGUCCAAGAGACCAAAUGUUUCAGCUGUAUGGAGUCACUUGUGGAGCAGCUUGAUGAAGGUGCAGUAAGGCAACGGUGAAUCGAAUGAAGAAAUAAUCUGACAGGGAAAUGAGGUGCCGGUCACAUUUGCUGAGUGGAGAUAACAUCACAACUCUUGACUGCUUUGUGUGUGAGAGGUGACCUGUUUGAGACCGAUGGAGGGCAGCAGUGACAUGACAUUGACUUCCUGUUGUUAUUUUCAGUGUGAAUGUUCAUGUCACCCAAUGUGGAAGUGUGCCAUCAUCAGUAAUGUCUGAAAGUAACAUGUCCAGUUCCACCACAAAGCUGUCCAGACGGGCCAUUAGUGGGGGUACAAAACAAGAACAGUAGGUUAGUUUCUGAAAUUAGAUUAAAGUUCUGAUGUUAAUUUAGAGGCUGAAGGAGAAGAAGUAAAAAUAUUCUAACUUUGUGACCGAUGUGGGAAGUAAAAUUAUUUUCUUUGCAUUGUUUUUCAGCCAACUAUGGAAACAGCUCUGAGCCCACUGAGAUAUUAAGUCAGGAAACGUCUUUUUUCACUUAACUCCUUUGACACAUUUUAGCUGUGAGGAAAAUUUCUGAACUUUAUAAUUUUCCCUCCUAAAACAAAAAAAAUCUGGUUUGAAGUGAAUGGAGACCAUAUGAAACCUUCAUUUAAGCAGGUAAAACAGAAUUUAGGGUUAACAAGUUAAAACUCCUGUGGGAAUUUGGCGCCCUCUGCUGACAACAUGGAACCUCUUAUCUUUUCUUUUUGUCCUCUACAUGAAUAUGUACUGUUUUUAAAAAAGUAUCUCACUCUUAAUUAUUUAAUUAUCAAAAAUAUGACAUAACGACCAUCUUUUCCAGUAAAAGUGUAAAGUUAAAAAGACACUAACCCCCUGCCGGUGGUUUCACACAUUCAAAAUAACAACUUAAAAUGAUUUAUUACUGAUGGUCCAGUUUGUUCAAGUACAUCAUAAACAGACACCAGGAUUAGUUUUAGUCUGUUUCAUAACCAGAGCUCCGCACUAAAGUUUUCUUUUCAGUGAUAACCUUUUAAAAAGUCAGGACAGACUCAUUAAAUGAGGAUUUCACUGCCUUCAAAAGCAAAACACAUAAACUCUCAGUUUAGUGACCACUGCGAAGAGGACUUUAGCCUCAAUACUUCAGGAGCUUCAACAACUAGUCUAUCAGCAGCUCAUGUAGACAGGAGUUUAACUGGGAUAAUGAAGCAAUUUGUAAGCAGACUUUUAAAAGUCAUGAGACAUCUACAAGUGAUUCACGUGGACAUCUCAGAGGAGGGAAAAUCAUCUCUCACCCCUGGAGGUUGAACGUUUAUUUUCAGAAAUAAAGAGAGUUAAAAGUUAUUUCAGCAUUUUAGUGUAUCAUUUAAAAACAGCAUGUAACACUGCUGAAGAUCUUCUCUGACACAGUUGUUCUGAGAGGCUAAUGUUUAGUUUCUAUUCAGCAUUUCCACGACACACACAUGUACGUUGUCCUCUGGGCGCUGUGAUAUGACCAACUUGACAGUAAAGUUAACACAAACUGACACACAAGUCUUCAUUUAACAAUACUUGAUUCUAACAUACGGUAGUUGGCCAUUGGUAAUCAAACCUCAAAUUUUCUGCCCCAGUAUUUACAAAGCAUGAACAGAAAAACAUCAGACUAUAAAUUUAUGUAGAAAAUGUUCAAUGCUGUAACAAAUGAAGUGAAGAGUCUGUUUUUAUAACUGCUUUUAUUACCAUUUUAUUUCCAUUACGAGGAAUCACUCCCACAAUUAGGUUGAUAUUUUAAAAGUGAAGGUCACUUCUUAUUUAGUCAGAAAUAAAUAAACACUUGGCAACGUUUUCUUCAUUUAAACAAGUUUCUUUUUGAAAACCGUCAGUGAAAGGAAAUCAGUUUGCUCAGCACCGAAGCCAAAAAGAGAAACAUCAGCAAAGGUGUCACAUAUACUGACCGAGCUGACCUGCUCUGAUUCUCUUUGAACCGUUUGAGUGACCUUUACAUCAGGCCUGAUUUGUGGAUUGGCUUUUAAAACACAGACAUUAAAUAUAAAAAUGACAAAGAUAUAACAUGUUCUCUUUCUGAAUUAACAAGAGUGUUUUAUGAAUGUGCACAUAUUAAAUAGAUUAUAACAAACUAGUGUUGUUUUGACCCUCUAGAGACCACCUUAAACACACUCACUCUGUAAAGUAAAAAACUGGCCAAAGAAAAUAUUGAGGAUUUUUUUUAUCGUUAAAUUAGUUAUAGUUAAAUUUUAGUUUAUUAGGAAGAGGAACAUUCAGAGUUCAGUCUAACAUGUCUCCCCGUGCUUUGUCAUGAUCACCAACGAGCUGUUUUUAACUUUCACUUUCAUUCAAAACCUCUGUAGGUCAAAGUUACCCAGCAACAGGCUCAGGCUGAAUUCUGAUUGGUCGAGACAGAAAUUGAAGUCGUCGCUCUUUCUCUCCUUUCUCCAUUUCUCUCUUGGAGCUGAAGCUGGAAGCAGGACUCGUCCUCGUCUCUGACAAAAGUUUGAUUUUUGUCGAAGUUUAAGACUCCGCAGAUCACAAUGAAGACUCUGAUCAUCCUGACGCUCCUGGGAUUUAUCCUCCCUGACACGACAGCGAGUGAGUUCAGAUUUAUUUAAGAUGUUUUAUUGUAAAGAGAAAAAUGAGUAAUGUGUUCAGAAAAUGUAGAUAUGAAUUUAAGGUUCAGUUGAUGUAAAUUUACAAAUGUUCGUUAUAGAGAUGUUAAAAAGUAAAUAUAUUUAUAUGUAUUUAUAUUUUUCUGCCUGUGAGUAGACUGUUUAGUUUCAGGUCAGUAAAUCUGUCUGUUCAUGGAGUCACAAAAAGACGUCAAUCUCUGAGAAAGGCUUUAAAAAGUUCAAUUAUCUUGUGUCCAAUAAAAAGUAAAGACUCCAUAUCAGGAAAAGUCAUAAAUUUAUUCAUUAAAGGACAAUUAACGUCGAAAAGCAGCAGAAACCAUAGACAGAGAAAUACAGAAAAUAGAAAUAAAUGCGUUUAAACAAAGAUUUUCUGAUCCUAAACCAUAAAAAGAGCUCUUGAUUUAUGUCUUCAAGAUGUUAAAUACUGUAAAUCAUAAUUGACUGAAUUUAUUAGGCAUGACUAUUUUUUAUAAUACCAGUUUAAAAUUUGUUAAUUCAUUUUAACAACUAAAUCUCCACAGUCUUUUAGUCGUUAAAUUUCACCAAAAUUUUGCAUAUAAGCCGAUAGAAACUUACACAUUAUCAGUGACUUCCUACACAAACCAGAUAUAAAAAUCACCUCUUAUAUUUUUUAUUUUACAGUAUUGGAAUAAAUCCUUGAAAUCCCAAAAUGAUCCUUAUAGUUAUUUAUUUGUUAAAUAGUUUUGUAGGUUUGUUCAUUUAUAAUUUAUCUUUGUCUGUAAAAUUGUGUAUCAGCUGAUAUUUUCUUAUUGCAGAUAUUUUGGUGUCUGAACUUUAGUUUGCUGGUAAAUAACAGGAAACUUUAGACAGAGUGUGUCCAUUACAGAGUUUAUCCACAGGAGGGCAGUCACGAGUUCAGUCUGUCAGCCUGAGUUUAGAAUUAUGCCGCAAUAACAAACUGAUCAAUAUCUGAAAUCAUCCAUAUCAAUAGAGAAAAUAUAGUAAAGUAGUAAAGUAGUGUGUUGACUUUGUCCUCCAACAGUCAGAUAAUGAGAGAAUAAACUUCUAAUGAAUCACAAUAAAGAACAAAAAACCUCCAUGAACGAUCAGAGUUUGAUCUCACGCUGACAUGAUCAGAACAAAACAGAGAGCUACAGUCGUUGGUACAAAUCUGUCAUUAAAGACAUGUUAUUGAAAUAUUUGACUGUUCUGAUUAUUUAUGUGAGGAAAAGAGAAACACUUUCUGAGAAACAUUCAUCAGGAAAAUCAGAAUUAAGAGUUCAAUAACUGAUUUUUUUGUCUGUACAUUAAUUAGAGUUUUUACUGACUGCAGAUAAAUGAUAAUGUCGUGUUGAAUCCUCUGUAGUUAUUCUUUCUCAGGUGUGCUGGAUUCAAACUUUGUUCAGUGAUGUGAAAAGUGUAAAAUAAAAACUGAAAGAUUGAAUUAUUUUGUCUUUACAGGGUCUCACUCUCUGAAGUAUUUCUAUACGGCGUCUUCUGGAGUUCAAGGCUUCCCAGAGUUUGUGACUGUUGGGUUGGUUGAUGAUCUCCAAAUAAAUUACUAUGACAGUAACACCCAGAGGGAAGUACCUAAACAGGACUGGAUGAGCAGAAUCACAGAAUAUGAUCCUCAGUACUGGCAGAGGCAGACUGAGAUCUCUUUGGGUUCCCAGCAGAGCUUCAAAGACGCAUGGUUUCCAAUUUUGACACAGCGCUUCAACCAGACUGGAGGUUUGUUCAUGUUUCACUUUUCAAUGAUAAAAUGUUGAUUAUAUUUUAGUUCUGUAAACAGAUGAUACACACACACACAGACACACACACGUACAGAAGUGCGUUUUUAUCCAUGUAGUUGAAACAGUCUCACUGAAGUCUUUCUGGUCUGAAACAGUCUGAACAGAAACAUCCGUGUCUCUCAGACUAAGUGGACUCUGCUGUUUUGUGCUGAUUCAGCGUUUCUGUCCAUCCCAUAAUAACCCACAGAGACGAUCAACACUUUCCCUCCACUAGAUCAGAUCAGAAUAAGUCCACUGAAGCGUCCACAGUGAGUCCCUCCACGUUAACUCUCUUGUAGAAAACCUGUGGAUCACAGCAGCUCAACAACACACAGCUGAUAGAGGAACAUUACUGCCUGGUUUCUCAAACUGAGGAGCAGGACCGUUAAGGGGACACAGGCUGCUUGUGCUGGGUCCCAACAUGAGAGGAGGAGCAGCGUGUUUUAAUAAAGCUGCUGACGGGACGACGUGAGAAAAAAAUCACAUUCAGAUCAGAGAUUAAAAAAGUGAAACAGUAAAACUCGACUGUACUGACAACACUGUGUUCAUAAUCUAUAAAAGAAACUACAGAUUAGAUUAGAUUAUCUUGACUUGAGUGUGUCUUUGUCAGAAUAAAGAGUGUAAAUGAAUGUUUGUGUUAUUUGACCUCAGCUGUUUGAGAAAUUGUGACAGAUUAGUUUUUUUAUUGUUAUUUAGCGAGUUAAACCGAGUAUCAGUUCAUUUAUAAACAGACAUGAUAUCAUCAGAAAUGACAGAAAUUCACAGUCUGAGCUCUAAAUAUGUUGUUAGAAACAUAUUUGAUCAGGUGAACUCUACUGGACUGAUAUACAGAGUUCACCUCAGAACAUAGAUGGAUUACAGAACUGUAGAUUACAUGAGAUUAACUGGAGUUGACCUCAGAGUUUGUUUGCUGUAGUUCAGUUUAUAAUCCAGAAAAAUUCACUCUGUAAAUAAUUAGUUAAUCUCAGUAAAUUAAUGGACAGAGAUUUUGAUCGUUGAGUAACCGUUUCUGUUUUUAAUCCUAAAUUUAAAUGAUUUUCUAACUCAGGAUUAUUAAAUCUGACAGUCAGCUGUUUUUAUCUGUAAAGUAAAUAUUGUUCAGUGUUGUUAUGAAGCAGUUUGAAAAGCUCAUCUUAGUCUUUGUUCACAUUUUUAAAAAGAAGUAAAUGAUUAAUCUGUAAAUGUCAAAAUAACAGGAGAAUGAAAAUAAUCUUCAAUCUCAGAUCUUAAUACUCAGUAAAACUACAGAUUAGAUGAGAUUAUCUCCUCUGUUCUGACCUCAGGGUUGGUUCCUCCUCUCAGGCUUCAUCAUCAUCAUCAUCAUCAUCAUCACACAAACAUCUGCAGGUGUAAACAGCUCUCAGGUUAUAUAGAAUGAUUGACACAUGUUUGGACCAAUCAGGACUCCCAGACUGCCUCCCAGUCUCCAUGAUGGUCCUGGUGGUCUCUGUCUGAUUGUGAGCAGCUGUAGUAACACACUGAUGAACACUGUGAGGAGGAGGAGGAGGAGGAGGAGGAGGAGGAGGAGGAGGAGGAAGAGGAGGAGGAGGAGGAGUCCACACACUGAUCCUGGACUCACACUCUCCUUCAGUGUGUGUGUGUGUGUGUGUGUGUGUGUGUGUGUGUGUGUGUGUGUGUGUGUGUGUGUGUGUGCGCGUUCGUGCGUGCGUGUGUGUGUAUCAGUCAGCUGAUGAUGUAUGAUUGAGUUGUGAUCUCACUCCAUCUCACUGAACUCUUCCUCCUCUCUUUGUCUCUCAGGUGUUCACAUUGUCCAGCGGAUGUACGGCUGUGAGUGGGAUGAUGAGACUAAUGAAGUGAACAGUGGUUUCUUUCAGUAUGGUUACGAUGGAGAAGACUUUGUAGCAUUUGACUUUAAAACAAAAACUUGGAUUGCUCCUACACCUCAGGCUGUCAUCACCAAACAGAAGUGGGAUGUGAACAAAGCAAAUUUAGCUCAAGACAUGAACUAUCUCACCAAAAUUUGUCCUGAAUGGCUGAAAAAGUAUGUGGAGUAUGGAAGGAGCUCUCUGAUGAGAACAGGUAAGAUCACAGACCUGAUGUAACUUUAUCCUGACAAUGAACAUAAACUUCUUUUUUAACUGUCAUAUUACACUGAGUGAUGAACAUCUUUGUUUUGUGCUUCGCUUUAUCAUUUUUGCUUUAUUUUUCUAUUUUCUGCAUCUUUCUCAUUCUCAGUGUUUUUCUUUAUUUUCUGAUUUAAUUUCUCUCUGCUCUGUUUUAAUCUCUUAACCCUCUUCAAUUUUCUGUCUUUUCUCCUCUGCCCUUUUGUCUGUUGCAAAAGUGAGAUUAAACAGGAUUAUUAAUAAACAGUAAUUCAAAGUCGUAGAGAAACUGUAAACUUUCUCUCUGUUUGUCCUCCAGACCUCCCCUCAGUGUCUCUCCUCCAGAAGUCUCCGUCCUCUCCGGUCACCUGCCACGCUUCAGGUUUCUACCCCAACAGAGCCAUGAUGCUCUGGAGGAAAGAUGGAGAGGAGCUUCAUGAGGAGGUGGACCUCGGAGAGACCCUCCCCAACCCUGACGGAUCCUUCCAGAUGAGUGCUGACCUGAAAGUCCCGUCUGAUGACUGGGGGAAGUAUGAGUGUGUGUUUCAGCUGGCUGGUCAGGAGGACAUCAUCACCAACCUGGACAAGACUAAGAUCAGGACAAACUCUGGUGAGACUGGAAACAAACAACAAAUGUUCUCUUUAAUCAACUUCAUCUGUUCAGAGUUUGACUUCACUUUGUUGUUUUCUGCUUCACAGGGAAUCUCUUGUACACGAUCAUCAUCGUUGUUGCUGUGUUGAUUCUUCUCUCCACCAUCAUCUGUGGAGGGGUCUACUUCUACAAGAAGAAGCAAAAUGGUGAGAGGUCAAAGCAGAGACAGUCUCAGUUUGUCUUUUUCAUCCCGUCCUCGUUUGUGUCCUCGUGGCAAAAGUAGAAAAAGAUAACAUUUUCAGAAUCCAGGAUGAGAUUCAGGAUGUGACAGGUGGAGGAUUUCAAAUUUGUUCAUUGUUUGUUUUGUUUCUUUUCCAGCCAAACGUCCUCCAUCUCGUAAGUAAAGUUUGUUUUUAUCCUUAAUUUGACUUAAAUUUUUAAAUGAUGGUUUAAUUGCUAACGUGUUGCUUUCUGAUCUUACAGCAGUCUAUACUGCCCCUGUGGAGCAAGAGAAAAUGCUUCCAAACCCAAGCGCCUAAAAGACAAACACACCACCCUGAACCCAGUGAGUCACAUUUGAUGAGCCUGGUUUUGUUACCUGUUGUCACCCUUAAGCUGUGUGAAAACAAAACUUUCUGAGGACUUUAGACAUGAAUCCAUCAUUAAUACCUUUUUUAUUGACAUAUCCUUUGAAAAAAAUAUCAGAAAUGAUUUUGUCUUUAAAGUUUUGUCCCUUCUGCUUUUUUAAGGUUGGUGGACAUAUUUCCCUGCCUAACAAGGAGGAGAUCCAACACAUUUUCCUGGGAAACAAUUGUUUUUUUUUUCUUCAUACACAACAUAAAGUGAUCAGGGCUGGAAUCAUAUUUGUGAUGCUUAUUGAGAAAAUACAAAAAAAUAAGUUUUAAAUGAGUUGACUAAUGAAUAACAAUAAUCUACAGCGCAUCUUCUCAAACAUAAAUUAGGACAUCAGGUUGUGUAUUUAGCUUUUGAUGAAAGUCCUGCUGAAAUUAUAAAAAUAUUCUAUGAAGAUGAUUUUUUUUUCUCUCAAUUGUAAAGAAGUUAAACACAAUCUUCAUCAGUGAAAGCGUCACACUGAUUUUUGUUCAUCCGUGAUAAAGAUUUCUGUGUUCAUCUUAAACUCAUCAACCACAGUAACAGUUUGAUCCUUCUGGUGUUGGGAGCUUUGCACUUAAAUCAGUUUUGGUUUUAUGAACAUUAACAUGCUUUCACAUUUUCUGUUAAGUACUCAUGGUGUUUAGCAGCAGUCUGGAGAAAUACAGCUUUAAAAUACAGAAGUCUGCCAACCAGCAGAGAUCUUACUGAUGAUUAUAUAAAGAAAGACGUUUGUUUGUGCUCUGGUUUUGUUUGUUCACUUUUAUCAAAUCAGCUGAUCAAUCAUUUUGAAUUUGGCUCCCUAAUCUGCCAUUAAAUCCUGAAAUUAAUCUGAAUUUAGUUUCAACACAUUUGCACUUAAUUAGGACUCUGUUUCCAGUUGUGUAAAUAUUCAUGUAAAACAAAAAAAAUGCUGUAAAGGCUCCAAAAACAUCCCUGAAAAUUAUGAUUUAUAAGUUUUAAAGUGUUUAUUAUAAUUAUGUUUUCUUUCAUGUGUCUGAUUUUAGUUAAGUUUAAAGGCUUCCUGUGCAUGAUGGCAUCAAAGUUCAACUCAAUGAAAGUCUAAUUUCUGAAACACCAUCUUUUAUAUGUCAGACUUGAAGUAGUUGUUGGAUGUUAAAUCUCUGAAAGUUGCUUGUUGUAAAUAUUUGAUCCUACUGUUAAAGAAGAUAGUGACGAUCAGUUCUCUGAAUAAUUUCUUGUUUUGGGUGAAGUUAAAAUUAGAAAUGAAGUUGCUUUUGCUUUGUGAUUACUUUUGUACUUUCCUUUAAAGUCUUAAUAAAAACCCCUAAAAAACCCAAACGUCU
rnacentral:lncRNA from 1 species